GAGGGACAACUAUUGAGUGCUUCAGGAAUGAGUCCUAAAACCUGGAAAGGAGUUAGCAUUUUAGCACUUCCGGUUCCCUUGUCUGGAAGUCAAUGUUUUUUUUUUUAAUUAUUUUUUAAUUACAUGCCUGAAAUGAGGUCUGUAGUUAAACAUAAGCUUAAAAGAUUUUAACGUUUUGUUCUACGACAUAAAAUACAUAAAUUAAUUUCCCACUUGUGAAUUUUGAAUCCUUUAUGUGUCUUAAAUAAAGGCGGUUG